AACGAACGCUGGCGGCAGGCCUAACACAUGCAAGUCGAGCGCGCCCUUCGGGGUGAGCGGCGGACGGGUGAGUAACGCGUGGGAACGUGCCCUUUUCUACGGAAUAGCCUCGGGAAACUGAGAGUAAUACCGUAUACGCCCUUUGGGGGAAAGAUUUAUCGGAAAAGGAUCGGCCCGCGUUGGAUUAGGUAGUUGGUGGGGUAAUGGCCUACCAAGCCGACGAUCCAUAGCUGGUUCGAGAGGAUGAUCAGCCACACUGGGACUGAGACACGGCCCAGACUCCUACGGGAGGCAGCAGUGGGGAAUCUUAGACAAUGGGGGCAACCCUGAUCUAGCCAUGCCGCGUGAGUGAUGAAGGCCUUAGGGUUGUAAAGCUCUUUCAGCUGGGAAGAUAAUGACGGUACCAGCAGAAGAAGCCCCGGCUAACUCCGU
rnacentral:rRNA from 1 species